rnacentral:rRNA from 1 species
UACGUAGGGACCAAGCGUUGUUCGGAUUUACUGGGCGUAAAGGGCGCGUAGGCGGCAAUUCAAGUCAGCUGUGAAAUCUCUGGGCUUAACCCAGAACGGCCAGCUGAUACUGCUUUGCUAGAGUUCGGAAGAGGCGAGUGGAAUUCCCGGUGUAGCGGUGAAAUGCGCAGAUAUCGGGAGGAACACCAAUGGCGAAGGCAGCUCGCUGGGACGUUACUGACGCUGAGACGCGAAAGCGUGGGGAGCAAACAGG